AAGACCAGUCCUCCAGCCCUCUCUUCACUAGCCUGUGGGACUCAAGAGUCGUUGUUUUCUUGAUGCGGUGCCAUCUGCCUGCUUGUUUGCAUCUAAGCAGGCAGCCAAGGAGAAGGUCCCUGAAGGGACAAGCAUAUAUGCAGAAGAUGGAGAGAAGCACAGCUCUGCCUGGGCACCUGCUCCCUCCGUCCUGGAGACGGCCCUCUCUCAGGGGCAGCAGCCUGGGCCUUUGCAGAGAUUCACAGGGCAGGGCUGCCUGGUCAAGCCUACUGUGUGAUCCUUGACUCAGAUUUUUACUAAAGACCAACUGAUGGCUGUGAGGUUCAGCCGAAACCCUAGGUUCUAUGCUCAGGAUCUGGGUACAUUGUAAUGCUUCCCUGUGCAAGGUGUGGCUUCGGGGACAGUGUAUUCUCUUACUAUGG